rnacentral:rRNA from 1 species
CGGGUGAGUAAUGCCUAGGAAUCUGCCUGGUAGUGGGGGACAACGUUUCGAAAGGAACGCUAAUACCGCAUACGUCCUACGGGAGAAAGCAGGGGACCUUCGGGCCUUGCGCUAUCAGAUGAGCCUAGGUCGGAUUAGCUAGUUGGUGAGGUAAUGGCUCACCAAGGCGACGAUCCGUAACUGGUCUGAGAGGAUGAUCAGUCACACUGGAACUGAGACACGGUCCAGACUCCUACGGGAGGCAGCAG